rnacentral:lncRNA from 1 species
AAAUAUACAAAGAUUACGUAUCAUUUCAUUGAUAUGAGUGAAACAACAAAAUUUGGCAAUGCACAGAGCCGCCGACACGAACCUGCUUGGUGCGCAAUCACAAGAGCAGAACAGAGAAGUGGGUUGCUCAGCCCACAACAUCACCGGCAGGAUCACAUCCUAAAUGUAUUGUAUUUUCUAGAUCUAUAUUAGUACCUACAAAACCUACAUACUCCCUUCGUCCUGAAAUUCAUGUACAGUGUACGUUUUGCAAAAAACACCUCACAAUUUUAAAACAGUAGCAAGCACGUCCUUGACUCCUUCUGCUUCCUCUGUCCGCCGCCCGUGCGUCGCCAGGGGCCAGGGGCCGGCGCCGCGGGAUUCCGCCGCCGUGCUGGAGAUUCCUGCACUCACGGCCCACCCGCAACCACGCACCGCCGCCCACCCGCCACCAGCUGCCCGCGGAUUCCGCCGCCCAACGCCGCGACCACCAGGCGAGCCGGUCCUCGAUCCGUCGCGACCACCUGCCGGCGACCACCUGUGUGAUAACGCCGCCCACCUGCGCGACCAGCCACUGCGGCGCCGCCCACCUCGACCUGCACCGCUGCCAACCCGUCUCUGCUACUUUGAGACUCCGAUCGCCGGCCCCGUCUCUGCUGCUGGGAGAUUCCGAUCGCCAGCCCAGUCUCUCCUUCCCCUCCGACUCCUUCCUCGCCGACUGUGCUGCCCCCCGACGCCUACUGCUGCUGCUGCUUCAACCAAACGAACUCUGCUGCUGCUUUGAAUUGUCCUGCUUCGACCAAAAUUCAGUGGAAUUGCCCGGCCUCUGCUGCUGCUGCUGCUAGGUAGGCAGUCCUGCGAAAUUGGUAAUGUUAGUUUGGAAACAUUCAAUCAUGUUAAUUAUGGAAACAUUCCAUCAUGUUAAUUAUCGAAACAUUAGAUCAGGAAAUGGGAUUCUGUUACUUUUGGAAACAUUCAAUCAUGUUAAUUAUGGAAACAUUAGAUCAGGAAAUGAAUUUUGUUAAUUUUGGAAACAAUUGAACCAUGUUAACUUCGGAAACAUUAAAUCAGACAAGAUUUUGGCAACUGGAAUUACUACGACAUGGAUUAUGGACUCUCACCUGAUCAUCAUCUAUGUUCAGGUUCUAAAAAUAUUCAAUUAGACAGUUUGGACUUGUGGCUGUACUUUGCUAUUUAAAUAUGUUCAGGUUGUAAAAAUGGGACAGCAAUAUAACAUCAAGCAAAACUCUUGCAAAUUUUUAGUUUCGACAGUGUCAAAGAAUACAGUAGUUUUGAGAGUAAUUUUGAUAAUUCAAGCAAAUUAAUUUUUACAACCUGAUAAUUUUGAUAAUUCCAAACAAAGAGUUGGGGCAUCCCUGUUUGACAAACCACUCUCAAAAAAUGACCUGUAAUUUUGUAAUUUACUCCAAAUCACGAAGAGAUACGACAACCAUAUGUCCAAAUCAUGAAUCACAACAAGAAACUCUAAAGUUGAAUGAUGUGAAGUGGAUGAACUAAAGAAGGACCAAGCAUGUUGUGUGUUGUAUGCCAGGUUUCAGUUAAUCUUCUGUAUGAACUAAAGAAGUAAAUGAUGUAAACAGAGCUUGAUCCCCAGGUUUCAGGUUUCAGGAUGUAGAAAGUUCACUUAACAUAGUUAUUGAUCACCUAGUCAAGUCUGUGAUCACCUAGUCUGUGGUGUGACAAAUGGAGGGGCAUCAACCUGCACCUGUCUGACGAUGCAUUUUUUUGGGGUUCACAUAUCAUACAAGUUCAGAGAUAAAAACAAGAUCUCCUAACAAUCUACUCUAGGAUAAAAAUAUAACUCUGUUUAGUGCUAGCUUUCUUCCUAACAAAGUUACUGCUCCUAAAUAUGGACACACAAUUUUUUUUUUUUGAUUUACACAAGAUCUCACAGUGAAGGACAAUAUGGGGUACUCCUACUCCUGAUGUAGUUGCAGCUACUCCUAUUCCUUCUUCUACUCUAGCUGCAGUAAGCAAUAUCACCAGCCAAACAAUAUCUGCAGUAGUAUCUCAACAAGCAGUACUUGCUGCUAUGGAUGCGGCCAUGGAUGCAUCAAACAAGUUUUAAAAUCAAAUUUAAACAAUGCUGCUAUUCAAAAAUUAGAUGGAAAAAGCUCAAGAUAAUUAAUCAUGACUACUGUCACAUGACAGAUUACUCCUGUACAGUACUGUGCCAUUUUUUAAGUGCAGACUAAUUCUAUAAGUGCACGUUAAUUCUAGAAGUGCAGACGUUUAGUUGUGAGAUUAUACAGCAGGAACAUUCAGUCUCUAAUUCAGAUGUUUGCAGUUGAAAAUGCAGCAAUUCAGGAAUCACCUGAAUCAAUUCAGACCAUUGCCGCAGAUGUCCUUGAACUGCCUCUCCUUCCACCUGAAGAUGUUGCCACUCCUUCAAAGCACAAACUUUCAGACCAGAGCAUGCAGCAAUCCAACAGAAGAUUUCGCCACUCCUUAAACUGCCACCACACACACCGAAUCGUCGGCCUUGAGCGAAGCCUGCUUGUUCCUCACAUCAAACGC